AUUCUCACGUAAUUCAAAACCCAAGUCUAGACUAAUUUUGUCAAGGGAAUAAAGGUAGAAAGGGGCGGGGCGGGAGCGCGGGCCACCUCCGCAUUUCCGACCCCACCCGCCUAGACAGGAAGCGGGCCUGCCUGCUGAGGUCCAGGACACAUGGCACCCACCUGCUUCUCCAGCACCAGUCUGGAUUUCCCGGAGAUUUUUGUAACCACUGAUCUUUGUUUUUAAGACUCCUUCCAGAGACUUUUGCUAACACGGCCAUAUAAUAUCCCACUGUGUAACCACACACCAGCCCUCCACUGAUGGGCAUUCGGUUGUUUCAGACUUUUUGCUGUUACGAGUAUCUCUGCAGUGAAGAGCCCAAUACACAUGCCUCGUAUAUACAACUGCCUCUGUGGAGACAUGUAGAAAAAUAGAUGCAUGGGUCACAGCCUCCACGUCAGCUUUCUCAGAACUCAAAAGAUCAACUUUCUCAAGGGCACGAACAGUGUUCGUUAUUUCAUCUAAGUAUCCUCGCUUAGACCGGUAAUGGCCUCCACAGUCAGCCAUAAAGAUGACAAAGACACAGUUCUGUCACGUAAGUUUCCUUCGGCACUGUGAACUUGUAUACUAGCUGAUGCAACGUCUUUGCCUUCUGAGUCCAAUACCUGAGCCUCCUCGGGGCAGUUUCUAUAGACUGUUUUUGUUCCUGAGUACGAGCCACACUUUCCCAUUUCUCUGGAUGUCUUGAAUUUUUUUUCAUUGCAGGUGGACACUGUGCCUAAUAAAAUGUGGCGACCGGGGAAAUCAG